UCAAGCUGUUUAGAAAGGAAAUGUGUUUG
rnacentral:piRNA from 1 species